rnacentral:rRNA from 1 species
UUGCCCUAGUAACGGCGAGUGAAGCGGCAACAGCUCAAAUUUGAAAUCUGGCUCUUUCAGAGUCCGAGUUGUAAUUUGCAGAGGGCGCUUUGGCGUUGGCAGCGGUCCAAGUUCUUUGGAACAGGACGUCACAGAGGGUGAGAAUCCCGUACGUGGUCGCUAACCUUCGCCGUGUAAAGCCCCUUCGACGAGUCGAGUUGUUUGGGAAUGCAGCUCUAAAUGGGAGGUAAAUUUCUUCUAAAGCUAAAUACUGGCCAGAGACCGAUAGCGCACAAGUAGAGUGAUCGAAAGAUGAAAAGCACUUUGGAAAGAGAGUCAAAUAGCACGUGAAAUUGUUGAAAGGGAAGCGCUUGCAGCCAGACUUGCCUGUAGUUGCUUAUCUGGACUUUUGUCCGGUGCACUCUUCUGCGGGCAGGCCAGCAUCAGUUUGGGCGGUUGGAUAAAGGUCUCUGUCAUGUACCUCUCUUCGGGGAGGCCUUAUAGGGGAGACGACAUGCAACCAGCCUGGACUGAGGUCCGCGCAUUUGCUAGGAUGCUGGCGUAAUGGCUGUAAGCGGCCCGUCUUGAAACACGGACCAAGGAGUCUAACAUCUAUGCGAGUGUUUGGGUGUCAAGCCCGGACGCGUAAUGAAAGUGAACGGAGGUGGGAACCCUUUGGGUGCACCAUCGACCGAUCCUGAUGUCUUCGGAUGGAUUUGAGUAAGAGCAUGGCUGUUGGGACCCGAAAGAUGGUGAACUAUGCUUGAAUAGGGUGAAGCCAGAGGAAACUCUGGUGGAGGCUCGCAGCGGUUCUGACGUGCAAAUCGAUCGUCAAAUUU